GACGGAGGAUGCAAGCGUUAUCCGGAAUUACUGGGCGUAAAGCGCACGUAGGCGGCUUUGUAAGUUAGAGGUGAAAGCCCGGGGCUCAACUCCGGAACUGCCUUUAAGACUGCAUCGCUUGAAUCCAGGAGAGGUGAGUGGAAUUCCGAGUGUAGAGGUGAAAUUCGUAGAUAUUCGGAAGAACACCAGUGGCGAAGGCGGCUCACUGGACUGGUAUUGACGCUGAGGUGCGAAAGCGUGGGGAGCAAACAGG
rnacentral:rRNA from 1 species